rnacentral:rRNA from 1 species
CGGUGUUUAACUGGCGUGAUGUGGGACGUCCUACCGGUGGGCUUAGCCUCGCGAGGGGCGGCCCAACUAAUAUCCCGUCGCGGUGCUCUUUACUGAGUGUCGAGUCGGGCCGGUACGUUUACUUUGAACAAAUUAGAGUGCUUAAAGCAGGCUAUCCUCGCCUGAAUACUGCGUGCAUGGAAUAAUGGAAUAGGACCUCGGUUCUAUUUUGUUGGUUUUCGGAACCCCGAGGUAAUGAUUAAUAGGGACAGAUGGGGGCAUUCGUAUUGCGACGUUAGAGGUGAAAUUCUUGGAUCGUCGCAAGACGGACAGAAGCGAAAGCAUUUGCCAAAAAUGUUUUCAUUAAUCAAGAACGAAAGUUAGAGGUUCGAAGGCGAUCAGAUACCGCCCUAGUUCUAACCAUAAACGAUGCCAGCUAGCGAUCCGCCGAAGUUCCUCCGAUGACUCGGCGGGCAGCUUCCGGGAAACCAAAGCUUUUGGGUUCCGGGGGAAGUAUGGUUGCAAAGCUGAAACUUAAAGGAAUUGACGGAAGGGCACCACCAGGAGUGGAGCCUGCGGCUUAAUUUGACUCAACACGGGAAACCUCACCAGGCCCAGACACCGGAAGGAUUGACAGAUUGAUAGCUCUUUCUUGAUUCGGUGGGUGGUGCAUGGCCGUUCUUAGUUGGUGGAGCGAUUUGUCUGGUUAAUUCCGAUAACGAACGAGACUCUAGCCUGCUAAAUAGGCGUACCUUAUGGUAUCGCGAAGGCCCCCGGCUUCGGCCGGUGGGUUUUUACUACCAACGUACAAACAAAUCUUCUUAGAGGGACAGGCGG